rnacentral:tRNA from 1 species
GCACGGGUAGUGUAAUGGCAACAUGCGGUCGGUCCACGACCGAGCUGGAGGUUCGACUCCUCCCCCCUGCA